UCCUGCUGGCUGUGACCAGGAGCCACAGGAGCUGGUAGAUCUCCAUGGCAGGUUUUGCAGCUGUGGUCCCUCCCCCACUGUGAUGGUCAAUACUGAGUGUCAACUUGAUUGGAUUGAAGGAUUCGAAGUACUGUUCCUGGGUGUGUCUGUGAGGGUGCUGCCAAAGAGAUUAACAUUUGAGUCAGCGGACUACAAGAAGCAGAGCCACCCUCAAUCUGGGUAGACACCAUCUAAUCAGCUACCAGCAAGGCUAGAAUAAAACAGGCAGGAGAAGAUGGAAGAGCAGACUUGCUGAGACUUCUGGCCUUCAUCUUUCUCCUGUGCUAGGUGCUUCCUGCCCUCGAACAUCAGACUCCAAGUUCUUCAGCUUUCAAAAUCUUGGACUUAUAUUGGUAAUUUGCCAGAGACCCUUGGGCCUUUGGCCACAGACUGAAGGCUGCACUGUUGGCUUCCCUAUUCUUGAGGUUUUGGGACUCGCACUGAUCCACCACUGGCUUCCUUGGCUCCUCAACUUGCAGCCGGCCUAUCAUGGGACUUACCUAGUGAUCAUGAAUGCUGUGACCUCUGAGAUAAUUCACCCACCGGAGUCAGACUGCUGAAGAACACUGGAUGGGUGGAAAAGGAACAUCUCAACCAGGAGAGAAGGAACUGAGUCAAGAAAGGGCUGCAUCUGGUGAAUAUGUCCCUCCCAGUGAUGGAACCCAGGGCUGCUGCAGCCAAGAGUCUAUAACAGUGGAGACGCCUUGAGCAAAGCCCCAGAGCCCUUGAGCUGCCUGUUCCCCUCCUCUGACAUGAUGGGUAAUCUGAUGGAAGCGCUGAGAGGCACUGCCUAGAAUUAAGCCCUAUGUGUAAACGAAGCAAGGAAGAAAGAACAUGUGCUAUCAAAUAUGAUUCAUGAUUCAAAUAUAUUUUAAUAUCUUAUUCUUUUCACACUCUGAGAAACUAUUCUGAUAAUGUGAUUGUUUUGUAAAGGAGUGUAUCUUCGGAUAAUAUACAGAUUUUAUAGCUAUUGCACAGUUUUAAUAAGCAAAAGACUUGCUAGGUUGAACUGGGUUCAACCCAAACCACUGUACAAUUUAAUUCAACACAAUAUUCCUCUGUUUAAAGUGCAUGUAAUUGCCAAUUUAUACAGUCACCAAGACCAAAGGUUUGCUAAAUAGAGUUCUGCAAACAUAGUAUGGCAUGUUUUAUCCCCAAGUACCAUAAACGAAGAAAGAAUGAAACUAAUCAUUAAUCAAUCAUGUAUCUAAUUCAUUUCAAGGGCUUCUUUCAACUGUACAAUUAUCCAAUGAAUAAAUUCAAAUCCACCUGUGUUAGUAUUUUUCUAGACUUUAUCACCAUAAGUUUUUAAAAAUCCUUAGAAACUCAAGGAAAUGCGUAAAAUGAAAUUGACAUUAUCUUAAACAGUAUUAGAUUGCUAUUCCCUCUUCUUUCAUAAAGAUUUUCUUUAUGGAGAGUUAUUCUUAAAUAGCACUGAUAUUUCUGAAAGUUUCCCCAAGUGCUCCAUUCUUAAAGAAAUUUUUAUUUAAAGGAUGAACAAUACAUAACACUGCUUAGUGUGUGUGUGUUUCAGUGAAAACCAUUAUACUGUAAAAACUCAUUCUACAACUUUUUUUCUGUCUAAAUUGUAAUUUUUGAGAUGUAGUAAACAUAUCACUGUGUGUAAAUAGAUCUAAUUCUACUAACUGGAAAAAACGCUCAACACUCAUGACAGAGGUUAUUUCUAGGGACCUAGGGAGGGGAAUGAGGCUUGGAAUCCCAGACAAAAGGCAUGUGAACUUUAUAUAUAAUGUAUUAUUUAUUUUAUUAAAUAUUGAAGUAAAUCUGGCAAAAUGGCAAUAAUCAUUGGAUGUUUUCUUUGUGCUUUUCUGCAAUUUUAAUUUUUGUCUUAAGUAAAUAUAUUAA
rnacentral:lncRNA from 10 species